CGCGAACGCUGGCGGCAUGGCUAAAACAUGCAAGUCGAACGCGAAAGUACCUUCGGGUGCGAGUAGAGUGGCGAAAGGGCGAGGAAUACGUUUCUAACGUGCCCCGAGGUCAGGGAUAGCAUCGAGAAAUCGGUGGUAAUACCUGAUGAUCUCACCGAGUCGAAUGUCUUGGUGAGCAAAGGCUUGCUGCCUUGGGAUCGGGAAACGUCCUAUCAGCUUGAUGGUGAGGUAACGGCUCACCAUGGCUAAGACGGGUAGCGGGUGUGAGAGCACGACCCGCCGCAUCGGGACUGAGACACUGCCCGGACUCCUACGGGAGGCUGCAGUAACGAAUAUUCCGCAAUGCGCGAAAGCGUGACGGAGCAAUGCCGCGUGUGGGACGAAGCCCUUCGGGGUGUAAACCACUGUCAGGGUUUAGGAAUUUUGACCAGACCCAGAGGAAGGGCCGGCUAACUUCGUGCCAGCCGCCGCGGUAACAC
rnacentral:rRNA from 1 species